UGGGCGUUCCGGAUGGUUUCGACAGAAACCUCCACAGUGAGGGUUCGGCCCAUCAGGCGGUUGGCGGUCAGGUUAAGUUCUUCUCUCUCACCUUCACUGAUGUGCCUCAUGUCCUGGCUGUUCUGUAUGUUGUGGAUCAUUUCCAGCAGGGUUUCUUUUUCUUGUUCCAUAGCAGAUGCUGCGUCACGGAAAGCCUCUGAGCUCCAGCUGGUCCAGGUUCUCGAGCAGGCGGCUGGAGCGGUCCGCCAUGGAGGUGGAACGGUAGAAGCGGCCUCGGAGCUGCCCGGCGGACGGCUGCUGCUGCUGCUGCUGCGGCGGCGCGCCCUCGCUCGCCUUGGCGCUGAUCUUAGCCUGGGCCAUAGCACUCGCCCGCUGCCGGCGGCGGCGGCCGCUCCCUCCCCGCGUCCCGCAGGCGGCGGCGGCGGCCGAAUGCCGGCGUCCCGCUCAUGGCCAAAGAAGGAGCCCGCCCGCCGCCUGCCCCCGCGGCACCCCGCCUCCGCGCCCCGCCUCGCGGCGCGGCCCGCCGGGCACCGCGG
rnacentral:lncRNA from 1 species